UGGGGAAUAUUGCACAAUGGGCGCAAGCCUGAUGCAGCAACGCCGCGUGAGGGAUGACGGCCUUCGGGUUGUAAACCUCUUUUAGCAGGGAAGAAGCGAAAGUGACGGUACCUGCAGAAAAAGCACCGGCUAACUACGUGCCAGCAGCCGCGGUAAUACGUAGGGUGCAAGCGUUGUCCGGAAUUAUUGGGCGUAAAGAGCUCGUAGGCGGUCUGUCGCGUCUGCUGUGAAAUCCCGAGGCUCAACCUCGGGCCUGCAGUGGGUACGGGCAGACUAGAGUGCGGUAGGGGAGAAUGGAACUCCUGGUGUAGCGGUGGAAUGCGCAGAUAUCAGGAAGAACACCGAUGGCGAAGGCAGUUCUCUGGGCCGUAACUGACGCUGAGGAGCGAAAGCGUGGGGAGCGAACAGGAUUAGAUACCCUGGUAGUCCACGCCGUAAACGUUGGGCGCUAGAUGUGGGGACCAUUCCACGGUUUCCGUGUCGCAGCUAACGCAUUAAGCGCCCCGCCUGGGGAGUACGGCCGCAAGGCUAAAACUUAAAGGAAUUGACGGGGUCAUAGCUGUUUCCU
rnacentral:rRNA from 1 species